rnacentral:rRNA from 1 species
UACGUAGGGUGCAGGCGUUACUCGGAAUUACUGGGCGUAAAGCGUGCGCAGGCGGUUUGUUAAGACAGAUGUGAAAUCCCCGGGCUUAACCUGGGAACUGCGUUUGUAACUGGCAAGCUAGAGUGUGGCAGAGGGGGGUGGAAUUCCAAGUGUAGCAGUGAAAUGCGUAGAGAUGUGGAGGAACACCGAUGGCGAAGGCAGCCCCCUGGGUCAAGAUUGACGCUCAUGCACGAAAGCGUGGGGAGCAAACAGG